UUAGAUUAUAUUUAUUAAUUUUUUUUAUUUAAAUUUCAAAUUUUAAAAAUAAUUAUAUAAUAAAAAGUUUUAGUAUUGUUUAAAGAAAAAAUAAUUUUAAUAAUAGUUUAAUAGUAUUGUAAAAGAAAAUUGAAAUAAUUUGAAAAAUUUUUAUUUUAAAAGAAAAUU
rnacentral:rRNA from 1 species